rnacentral:lncRNA from 1 species
GGAAGCCUAGAUGAGAAACCAAUGGAGGUGUCCUGGCUGUGUUGUGGUCUGGUUCUUACUGCUGAGUGACUGUAAUCACUUCCCAUCUGAGUCUCAGCUUCCUUGUCUACAUAGGGAUAAGCAGAGCAGCCAGCCUGCUUUCUGUCAGGCCCGCGCUGCUCUGAUUGUGUUGAAGCAGCUUGUUAUCCUGUCAGAGGCUCCGUGACCCACAGGUGAGCUUUGUGGUCUUCAAGAGGCCUUGUAAUUACUCUUGUAAGUCCCAGAGAGAAGUCACCAGAAUUAUUAGGGCAACUAAGGCCUCUGCAGGCUGAAUCAUUUCCCCAGAUGGUGCCCUCUGCUAUUAAGGUUAGCUUUGGACACAAGAACCAGGCAUCAUCAGCAACAAAACAGAGGGAUGAAACAUGGAAGCCAAAGACACUGCCAGGUCCCAGAGUGCCUGGGUAGGAAUUAGAAUUGACUGAACUUGGAAGGAAGGGUGCCCGGAUAAGGAGAGGCACAGUGCAUGUUCCUGAAAAGUGGCAAACUCUUCAGAAAGGCUUUGGUAAUGUAAUGGGAUAUGGGUGCGUGAGGUCCUUUAAGAAGCAGCCUCUGGCCUCCUUGCUGUCUUAGGCUCCUCUGCUUCCUCUACACUGGCCAGGCACACCUAUUUCCUGGAGUUGGAGAGAAAAUAGAAGUUGAGUAACAAGGACACUUGGGAGCUGUGGGCAGGAGACACUAAGCACUUAAGGUUUGCAGCCAGGUGUCAGCCUGAGCUCCUAGAGGGGACCAGAGUCACAGAGAUUCAGAGAAGAGUAAUGUGGAGUUCCCAGGUCUGAAGGGAAGGCGGAGACUCUGAAGUUACAUGGUAGGAAAGUGCACCAGGCUGAAGGCGGAAAGGAGACCACUUCGUGUACGAUCCUCACCUCCCAGGCACCGUCUCUGCAAAGGCAUCUAUAGUGUAUAUCAGCAAAGCGAGGUUCCAGGGCUAUAGGGAGAUGUCAACAGCCACAUGACAGCACUCCAGGAAACGUCACAGUACUUCUCUCAAAAGAAGCAACAGAAAGUAGCUAGGCAUGACACCCACGGUAUUUCUGGAGCCCACUGAACACCUCUGAUGCUCUGAGGACAGGAGUUCCAACACCAGCUAGCUCACUUACAUGGCAGCUCACAGCAGAGAGCUGUGCCUAGUAGGUGUUGGACACAGGCUGGGUGUUUCAUAAACAUUCUCUCUGAGCUCCCAAACGUGAGUCAGCAACCCUAAUUUAAUUUUCAGUCAUAACUGGUGGAAAUUCACUUUAGUCUCUUACAUGAUUGGAUCCUGUAUUUGUGAAGGCCCAUGCCUGGUGGGACCAUUACAUCAUGUUGACAAUAUAAAUUAGACUGAUUAGGGGCUGACAACAUCGUUAAGAAUGAUAUACAAUUUAGUAGCUGGCAUUAUUGCCUGUUAAAUUUACACAUGACAAACUGCCUUCUAUCUUUGCCCAGUGAUAGUUGGGCACCAACCCAAGUCACAGGAAAUGCCAUAGAGAGAACUAUAGACCAAUCAUUAGUUGUCCCUGGGAGGUCACUCAGCCCUCCCAGUUUCUGCCUGGAACUCAGCUCCCAGAAUCCACUGGGACCUGGCACAGAGAAGGGGAACAGCUCUUGGCACUCGGAGACCACGCAGGAAAUACUUCUGGGCUUUGUGUGGAUGGUGAAAAGUUAAGAAGCCUCUGGAACAAAGACACUGGGCCAUGUCUUAAAGAGUAGGACAAAAUAGAGCUGGCCACAUAAAAUGAUACCCUGGGAUGUAAAACCUGUUUUGAAGCCUCAAGGUCA